GGGGAAUUUUGGACAAUGGGGGCAACCCUGAUCCAGCCAUGCCGCGUGAGUGAAGAAGGCCUUCGGGUUGUAAAGCUCUUUUGUCCGGAAAGAAAAGCUUCGGGUUAAUACCCUGGAGUCCUGACGGUACCGGCAGAAUAAGCACCGGCUAACUUCGUGCCAGCAGCCGCGGUAAUACGAAGGGUGCAAGCGUUACUCGGAAUUACUGGGCGUAAAGCGUGCGUAGGUGGUUUGUUAAGUCUGAUGUGAAAGCCCUGGGCUCAACCUGGGAAUGGCAUUGGAUACUGGCAGGCUAGAGUGCGGUAGAGGGUAGUGGAAUUCCCGGUGUAGCAGUGAAAUGCGUAGAGAUCGGGAGGAACAUCUGUGGCGAAGGCGACUACCUGGACCAGCACUGACACUGAGGCACGAAAGCGUGGGGAGCAAA
rnacentral:rRNA from 1 species